rnacentral:rRNA from 1 species
UACGUAGGGGGCGAGCGUUGUCCGGAGUUACUGGGCGUAAAGCGCACGCAGGCGGUCUGCUAAGUUUGGAGUGACAGUUGGUGGCUUAACUGCCAAAGUGCUUCGAAAACUGACAGACUUGAGGGCUUCAGAGGGACACGGAAUUCCGGGUGGAGUGGUGAAAUGCGUAGAGAUCCGGAGGAACACCAAAGGCGAAGGCAGUGUCCUGGGGAGU